rnacentral:rRNA from 1 species
CCGCCUAAGGUGGGAUAGAUGAUUGGGGUGAAGUCGUAACAAGGUAGCCGUAUCGGAAGGUGCGGCUGGAUCACCUCCUUUCUAAGGAA